rnacentral:tRNA from 1 species
UGCGGGGUGGUGCAAUUGGUAACACGCCUGCCUUUGGAGCAGGAGUUCCAGGUCCGAUUCCUGGCCCCGCAGCAA